GUCAAAGCUGCUGAUUGACAUGCAAAGCAAGCUGCAUUAAAAGCUCCAGCAGGUGAGUGACCUACUCUAAACGAGCUCAGUGAAGAAAAGAAACAAGGGAAACAGCUUCAAUUGAGAAAAAACAGGUCCAACAGGAGAAAGGACAUUGACCUUCUGGCAUCACAUGUGGGAUUGGAAGCACUCAAGCAGACUCUUACAGGAGCAGCUGGAGGAAAAAGGGCACAAGUUGCAAAGGUACCAGCUACAAAGAAGUGUCUGGGAUCUGGAAAAGGAACAGGUCAUACACCUAUGACCUGGAACCACAGGAAGCUCUGGAUUGAGAGGAAAGACUAAAUCUCAUUGGGAGAGUCUAUCCUGGAUGGCUCAGAAAGGGUCUGUAGG
rnacentral:lncRNA from 1 species